UCUUUACAGCCCAGCUCCAGUGGCGGCGCCCGUGAAUGAUGCCCUUGUUCUGGGUUUUGUCAUGCAGGAGCCUGGAAGGGAGCAGGACAUCCUCAGCUGCCUGGAGGUGACCUCUCAGGAGUUAAAAGCAGGAAGGUCUCUGUGAUACCAAACUGCCAGAGCACAGAUUAGGCCCUGGGAGCUGCUGUGGCGUGGCCCUGGCUCUGACACCAGUUUUUGCUGGAAACAAGGAAAAUGUCCAGGACUUCUGUGCUGCUCAACUCUCUAUCAGCAGCAACUCCACUGAUUGAACUUGGAAUCAACAGUUUUAUGGAACAACUAUUUGGAUGUGUUUUCAAGCAAGCAAGACCAUUGGAGAGGCCUGAAGAUUAUCCAUCUGGAGAUGCCUGUGGCACAUCCCCAGCUUGCCUGCCUGGCCUCCUGCAGGAUUUCUCCCACUCCAGCAGCACAUCUCCUGCAGCAGCCCCCGAUUCCUCCCGUGUGGCAGAAGCUGCUGGCGAGCCCCCGUGGGAGUUGGCACUACGUUUGUGGAGAUGCACAAGUUCUGAAGUAAAAAUGUGACUCAGAGCAGCUCCUCCUUACUCCCAUUCCCUGGAAACACGGCCCCAACAAGGCGUCUGUGAGGCACUGGGGGUAUGAAAGUGUAUUGCAGAGCGAGCUGGUGUCAUCAAACACAGCCAGCCAACACAAAAAUUUCAGCCAUGCAGCGUGGCACUGAUUUAAAGUGGCCUGGAAUACAAUAAAAGGUGAAUCUUCCUUCAGAAUUGCAGGAAAUUAUUUUUUCCCCCUGGGCAGGCUUUGAG
rnacentral:lncRNA from 12 species